rnacentral:misc_RNA from 1 species
CCGAGUGAGGGCUUCCGGCCCGACCUCCAACCCUUUGUUAUCAAAACCACUGUUGCCUCGGGGGCGACCCGCGCCUGUCGGCGCCGGGGCCCCCGGUGGACCACACCAAAACUCUGCAUCUUUGCGUCGGGUUUAAAAGUUUAAUUGAUUA